rnacentral:rRNA from 1 species
AGACCCGAAACCCGGUGAUCUAGCCAUGGGCAGGUUGAAGGUUGGGUAACACUAACUGGAGGACCGAACCGACUAAUGUUGAAAAAUUAGCGGAUGACCUGUGGCUGGGGGUGAAAGGCCAAUCAAACCGGGAGAUAGCUGGUUCUCCCCGAAAGCUAUUUAGGUAGCGCCUCGUGAAUUCAUCUCCGGGGGUAGAGCACUGUUUCGGCUAGGGGGCCAUCCCGGCUUACCAACCCGAUGCAAACUGCGAAUACCGGAGAAUGUUAUCACGGGAGACACACGGCGGGUGCUAACGUCCGUCGUGAAGAGGGAAACAACCCAGACCGCCAGCUAAGGUCCCAAAGUCAUGGUUAAGUGGGAAACGAUGUGGGAAGGCCCAGACAGCCAGGAUGUUGGCUUAGAAGCAGCCAUCAUUUAAAGAAAGCGUAAUAGCUCACUGGUCGAGUCGGCCUGCGCGGAAGAUGUAACGGGGCUAAACCAUGCACCGAAGCUGCGGCAGCGACGUUUAUGCGUUGUUGGGUAGGGGAGCGUUCUGUAAGCCUGCGAAGGUGGCCUGUGAGGGUUGCUGGAGGUAUCAGAAGUGCGAAUGCUGACAUAAGUAACGAUAAAGCGGGUGAAAAGCCCGCUCGCCGGAAGACCAAGGGUUCCUGUCCAACGUUAAUCGGGGCAGGGUGAGUCGACCCCUAAGGCGAGGCCGAAAGGCGUAGUCGAUGGGAAACGGGUUAAUAUUCCCGUACUUGGUGUUACUGCGAAGGGGGGACGGAGAAGGCUAUGUUGGCCGGGCGACGGUUGUCCCGGUUUAAGCGUGUAGGUGUGUGUUCCAGGUAAAUCCGGUUCACUUUAACACUGAGGCGUGAUGACGAGGCACUACGGUGCUGAAGCAACAAAUGCCCUGCUUCCAGGAAAAGCCUCUAAGCAUCAGGUAACACGAAAUCGUACCCCAAACCGACACAGGUGGU